CCCAACGUCCUCCUCAACAACAAGGGGGAAGUGGAGGUUACUCGGGUGGACGAGGUUGGGCUCCACAAUCCCAGCAAGGAGGUCGGGGUGGUUAUGGCACUGGUGGUCGGGGUCGUGGAAUGCCACAACAGCAGUAUGGUGGAGGACCUCCUGAAUACCAAGGUAGAGGAAGGGGAGGUUCUUCUCAGCAAGGAGGUCGUGGGGGAUAUGGUGGCGGUCGAGGUAGUGGUGACCAUGGUGGAGGACCUUUUGCUGGUGGACCAUCCCGACCACCUGUUCCCGAGCUGCACCAAGCAACCCAACCUAUGCAAGUUGAGGUGAUCCGCCAGCCUGCUCCGUCUGAGGCAGGCUCAUCAUCCAGGCCACCACCAGAGCCUGUACCAUUGACCGAGCAU
rnacentral:lncRNA from 1 species